rnacentral:rRNA from 1 species
CCUACGGGACGCAGCAGUGAGGAAUAUUGGUCAAUGGACGAGAGUCUGAACCAGCCAAGUAGCGUGAAGGAUGACUGCCCUAUGGGUUGUAAACUUCUUUUAUAAAGGAAUAAAACGAGGCACGUGUGCCUUUUUGCAUGUACUUUAUGAAUAAGGAUCGGCUAACUCCGUGCCAGCAGCCGCGGUAAUACGGAGGAUCCGAGCGUUAUCCGGAUUUGUUGGGUUUAAAGGGAGCGUAGAUGGGUUGUUAAGUCAGUUGUGAAAGUUUGCGGCUCAACCGUAAAAUUGCAAUUGAUACUGGCAGUCUUGAGUACAGUUGAGGUAGGCGGAAUUCGUGGUGUAGCGGUGAAAUGCUUAGAUAUCACGAAGAACCCCGAUUGCGAAGGCAGCUUACUAAACUGUGACUGACAUUGAUGCUCGAAAGUGUGGGUAUCAAACAGGAUUAGAUACCCCAGUAGUC